rnacentral:rRNA from 1 species
UUCUUUUAGAAUUAAUUAAAAGUAAUUUCUGCUCCAUGAAAAAUUUAAAUAGCCGCAGAUUUCUGUGCUAAGGUAGCAUAAUCAAUUGUCAAUUAAUUGUUGACUUGUAUGAAAGAAAAUAUAAUUAAAAACUUUAUUUUUUAUAAAAAUUUAAUUUUAAAUUCAUCUUAAAAUGUUUGAAUUUUUAAUAGGGACAAGAAGACCCUAUAAAGCUUUAUAUAUUUUUUAUAGUUAUUUAUUUGUACAAAAUAUGUUUUAUUGGGGAAAUAUUUUAUUAAUUAAUGAUAUAAAAAUAAAACUAAAAAUUGAAAUUUAUUAUUUUGAUCCAUAAAUUAUGAUUAAUUGAAUAAGUUACUUUAGGGAUAACAGGAUAAUUUUAUAUGAAGAGUACUUAUUAAUAUAUUGGAUUAUUACCUCGAUGUUGAAUUAAUUGAAAGUUAUGGAGGAGAAGCUAUAAAAAAUUUAACUGUUCGUUAAUUAAAUAUUUACA